GAAGGUCACAUGAUAUAUGAGUGGGAAAUUGUUGGAAAUUAUGAUUUUGAAAAUUGGUGGUAAGAAACUUGUUCAUUGCCUUUUGGUGUUUUAUAUAGGAUAACGACCAACAUUGACAGUCAAACCUCGUCUGACCCACUAAACAAGCCCUAUGAUAUAAUAUGCUCCCAAAAAAACCUAUGAUAUUAUAACAUUAUUUUCUACCCAGAACUUACAUGUUCAUUGAAACAACUCGUAACUUAAGGUAAGAAAUAUAUUUCACAUUAGCAGUUGACUAAACUUCAUACAUGUAUAUACAAAAAAUGUUAUAAAUAGUUUCCAACACUGGCAACAUGUAAGUCAAAUAAAAUGGAAUGAGUUACAUUUUGUACCUUAAUUUAUUACCAAGAUAUUAUCAAAAAUGCUACUCAUGCUUGAUGAUAUAGUAUAUUUUCCCUUGUAAGAAUUUAUAUUCAUUUCUGAUACCAAUCUAACAAAGUCUCCAUUCAAUAAGUAUUCAAUGUUUUCAGCUAACAUUAUUAUUUUAAAUUUGACAGUGUUCAGCAGAAAGUAUUACAAUGAGAUUUGUAUGGCAGAGAUCAAACACAAUAUAUCUAGAAGAACAUAUACUGACACAUGGAAUAUAAAGAAGAAGCUAGAGUUAUUAUUUCAAAUUAGUCUGUGUUCAGCGGCAAGUAUUACAAUGUGAUUUGGAUGAGAACAAAAGAUGUAUAUCUUGAGGCACAUACUGACCCAUAGAAAAAAGAGAAUAAGGAAAGACAGUGAAAAACGGGAAAUAUUUGAAAGGCUAGAGUUAUUAUUUCAAAUUAGUCUGUGUUCAGCGGCAAGUAUUACAAUGUGAUUUGGAUGAGAACAAAAGAUGUAUAUCUUGAGGCACAUACUGACCCAUAGAAAAAAGAGAAUAAGGAAAGACAGUGAAAAACGGGAAAUAUUUGAAAGGCUAGAGUUAUUAUUUCAAAUUAGUCUGUGUUCAGCGGCAAGUAUUACAAUGUGAUUUGGAUGAGAACAAAAGAUGUAUAUCUUGAGGCACAUACUGACCCAUAGAAUAAAGAGAAUAAGGAAAGACAGUGAAAAACAGGAAAUAUUUGAAAGGCUAGAGUUAUUAUUUCAAAUUGGACAGUGUUCAGCGGCAAGUAUUACAAUGUGAUUUGGGUGAGAACAAAAGAUAUAUAUCUUGAGGCACAUACUAACACAUGGAAUAUUCAAGAAUUAUGUACAGAGAAUUAUGAAAGAUAGUGAAAAGCUGGAAAUAUUUGAUAAGCUUAAACAGAAUAUCUAUCCAGCACUUGAAACUAUUUUUUUCAUCAAAUUAGCAUGAAGUUUUAUACUUUACAGAAGUUUCAUUCAUUACUG